rnacentral:lncRNA from 1 species
UGGUGUAGCAUUCUACGUUCAGCUUUUGCAUUUAUUUUCUCAGUGUCACGAGUUGCUCCUCUGAUUCAAGAUCACUUAUCUCCUCAUCACUCAGCAUAUACACAUUGGCAUUAACACUUUUUGCAAAAACCACAUAUAAAUGUUUGUAGAAUGUUCUUGUCAUUCCACAGCGAUUUUUUAUUUUUUUGUUCAGCGAUUAGCUCGUUUUUCAUUUAUUUCAAGAUUUCAGGCCGGGCGCUGUGGUUCACGCCUGUAAUCCCAGCCCUUUGGGAGGCAGAGGCAUGCAGAUCACGAGGUCAGCAGAUCGAAACCAUCCUGGCUAACAUGGUGAAACCGCGUCUCUAUGAAAAAAUACAAAAAAUUAGCCAAGCAUGGUGGUGGGUGCCUCUAGUCCUAGCUACUCGGGAGGCUGAGGCAGGAGAAUGUGAGAACCCAUGAGGCAGAGAUUGCAGUGAGCCAA